UCACACUAGAACAUAACUACAAAAAUAGUGGAGAACGACAACGAGAGCGAUCACUUCAAGAGAUAAAACAUUGACAACCAAUCAAAAACGCGUUCUAUUGAAGCGUUCAUGGCUCUAGGUGCGCAAGGCUGCUCAGAGAGGAGAGAAGGCAGAGCAGAGCGCAAGAUAAUCUUGCCUGAAUAACUGGCCAUGUGUGAGCAUAUUGGUGUCCACGUUACGUAUAAAACGACUUGGGAGAAUGAGGAUCCACGACAAACAGCGCGCGAGAAGGACAUAUUUUCGAUGCGGUCUGUCCAUGAGUGUGUUGAAGGAGAGGAAGAGCGUCCGGAUGGAGUUAAAGAAAGCAUCCCCAUCCUCACUGGUCCCAUAGAAUCUGAAUAAACAAAAAGAAGGACAUUGCUCAUUUCAAAACAAACUAAUAUUGUGUACCAAAUGUAUGAGUAUGUAUGAGGAAGGAAGGCCACAGCUAUGAUACCUGAGGUAGAGGACCCGGGACUGCACAAUGAACAUGAACAGGCGCUGCAGGUUCUGGUCCAGCUGUUCAGGGUUGGACCUCCAGUUCAACAGGCCCAGGAGAUCCACUGGAAGAGGAACAGGAGAAUAUUACUUUUAUGUCAACAUCAUUCUUCUCUGUAUUAUGAGCCGAAGUGCGGAAAGAGUUGGAUUUGAUUUGAUUCAAUUUGUUAAGGUCUGUUUGAUUCUAAAUACAUUGUUUCCCAGAUAAUCGUGUCCUACUACAGUACCAUUCUGGGUGAGUUUAGUGGAGCAGGUGAGAGUGCCAAUCUGGAAGCUGUCCUUUGUGACUGGGAUGACUCCUGAAUGCUGAAAGGU